rnacentral:rRNA from 1 species
AGUGAACGCUGGCGGCAGGCCUAACACAUGCAAGUCGAGCGGCAGCGGGUCCCCGCGAGGGGAUGCCGGCGAGCGGCGGACGGGUGAGGAACACAUCGGAAUCUGCCUGGUUGUGGGGGAUAACGUAGGGAAACUUACGCUAAUACCGCAUGCGACCCUGAGUCGACGGACUGGGGGUGAAAGUGAGGGACCUUCGGGCCUCACGCGACCAGAUGAGCCGAUGUCGGAUAGCUAGUUGGCGGGGUAACGGCCCGCCAAGGCGACGAUCCGUAGCUGGUCUGAGAGGAUGAUCAGCCACACUGGGACUGAGACACCGGCCCAGACUCCUAC